rnacentral:tRNA from 1 species
UAGGGGGAAGUAUAAACGGAUGUACGAAGGGUUUUGAUCUCUAAGGCGUGGGUUCAAUCCCCACCACCCUAA